AUACAGCUGACGAGUCCCAAGCAGGACGAUAUGCUCAUCCUGAAU
rnacentral:hammerhead_ribozyme from 1 species